UCAGCUCGUGUCGUGAGAUGUUGGGUUAAGUCCCGCAACGAGCGCAACCCUUGUCUUUAAUUGCCAUCAUUCAGUUGGGCACUUUAAAGAGAACUGCCGGUGUUAAACCGGAGGAAGGUGGGGAUGGACGUUAAGUCCUCAUGGCCUUUAUGCCCAGGGCUACACACGUGCUACAAUGGGUGGUACAAAGAGAUGCAAUCUCGCAAGAGCAAGCAAACCUCAAAAAAGCCAAUCCUCAGUUCGGAUUGGAGUCUGCAACUCGACUCCAUGAAGUCGGAAUCGCUAGUAAUCGCGGAUCAGCACGCCCGCGGUCCGAAUACGUUCCGGCCUU
rnacentral:rRNA from 1 species